AUACGUAGGGGACGAGCGUUGUCCGGAAUUACUGGGCGUAAAGGGCGCGCAGGCUGUGCUGCAAGUCAGCUGUUAAAUGUCUGGGCUUAACCCGGGCAUGCGGUUGAGACUGCGGUGCUGGAGUGCUGUAGAGGCAAGUGGAAUUCCCAGUGUAGCGGUGAAAUGCGUAGAUAUUGGGAAGAACACCGGUGGCGAAGGCGGCUUGCUGUGCAACAGCUGACGCUGAGGCGCGAAAGCCAGGGGGGCAAACGGGAUUAGCGACCCCGGUAGUCCGGGCCGUAAACUAUGAAUGCUAGGUGUGGGGGGACUGACCCCUUCCGUGCCGGAGUAAACCCAAUAAGUAUGCCGCCUGGGGAGUACGACCGCAAGGGUGAAACUCAAAUGAAUUGACGGGG
rnacentral:rRNA from 1 species